ACAAGCGGUGGAGCAUGUGGUUUAAUUCGAAGCAACGCGAAGAACCUUACCAGGUCUUGACAUCCCUGACAACCCGAGAGAUCGGGCGUUCCCCUUCGGGGGACAGGGUGACAGGUGGUGCAUGGUUGUCGUCAGCUCGUGUCGUGAGAUGUUGGGUUAAGUCCCGCAACGAGCGCAACCCUCGACCUUAGUUGCCAGCAUUCAGUUGGGCACUCUAAGGUGACUGCCGGCUAAAAGUCGGAGGAAGGUGGGGAUGACGUCAAAUCAUCAUGCCCCUUAUGACCUGGGCUACACACGUGCUACAAUGGGCGGUACAAAGGGUCGCGAACCCGCGAGGGGGAGCCAAUCCCAAAAAGCCGCUCUCAGUUCGGAUUGCAGGCUGCAACUCGCCUGCAUGAAGUCGGAAUCGCUAGUAAUCGCAGGUCAGCAUACUGCGGUGAAUACGUUCCCGGGCCUU
rnacentral:rRNA from 1 species